UAAUUAUUUAGAAGGCACUUCCAAUCCAAUCACCAUUAUCAUAUUAUGUGGCAUUUGGCUUGAAAAUGUACCACGUACUUGGUUGUGGAAGAUAAAAGAAAAAUUGCAACAACAAAUCCUAACAAUUCUAAUAGAUUCUUAAUUAAAUUAUAAUUAAAGAUUAACAAAUACAAUCAAACAUCAAUCAAAUUCAAUUAAAUUUUCAAAGAAAUAUAAAGAAUUCUUUGAGAUCCUUUUAAGAAAUCAUAAAGAAAUAAUUUAGAAAAUUAAAAAUAAUAUACUAAAAUAGAAGUCUUAAUAAAAUAUUAAAAUAAAAAUCUUAAUUAAAUCCUAGUCAAAAUCUAGUCAAACCUUGGUCAAAUUCUAGUCAAAUCUUAGUCAAAUCUUAGUCAAAUCAUAAAUGGCCUUAACUAAAUUUUAGAAAAAUCCUAAUCAAAUUCCAAACAAAUCCUAAUCAAAUUUUAAAUAAAUCUUAUUCAAACCUUAAAUAAGCCAUAAUCAUAUUCUAGACAAAUCCUAGUUAAAUCCUAGACAAAUUCUAAAUAAGUUCUAAUCGAAUCCUAAAAAAAUCCCAAACAAAUCUUAAUCAAACCUUAAUCAAACUCUAAUCAAAUGCUAAAUAAUUUCUAACCAAAUUCUAAACAAAUCCUAGUCAAAUCCUGGACAAAUCCUUAUAAAAUCUUAAUUAAAUUCUAAAUAAAUUCUAACCAAAUCCUAAUCAAAUUCUAAAUAAAUCCUAAUCAAAAUCCUAAUUAACUCAAAUCCUAAACCAAAUCCUAAAUCCUAACCAAACCACAAUCAAAUUCUCAUCAAUUCUAAAUAAUUCAUAGAAUAAAUUUAGACCUCAAUAAUUAAUAAAUGAAUUAUUGAUUUUAAUUCAAAAUUUUUACAUCUCUUAAUAAUUAAUUUUAAAAUAAGUACAAAAAAAAUUGAAAAGAAUCGGAAUUACCAAAUAGACAAUAACCUCAAAAAUGUGCUUGGAUGUCAGCCGCCUUCCUUCUUCGACCUUGAUGCUAAUCUUCUAAAGCCAAUUUCUCUUGAUUGAAUUGUUACUUUGCUUCCAAACCUUACACACUUAUUAGAAAUCAAGCUAAUUACUUCUGUGAAAAAAAAUUGCUUCAAUUUAAUUGGCGGAUUGACAAAUAUCUAAGAAAACCUCAUUAGUCUUCAAAAUCCUAAAUUCUGGGACCAUAACCCAUAAAAACCUUCAUGCCUU
rnacentral:lncRNA from 1 species